GAUGAACGCUGGCGGCGUGCUUAACACAUGCAAGUCGAACGGAAAGGCUCCUGCUUGCAGGGGUACUCGAGUGGCGAACGGGUGAGUACACGUGGGUGAUCUGCCCUGCACUUCGGGAUAAGCCUGGGAAACUGGGUCUAAUACCGGAUAGGACGAUGGUUUGGAUGCCAUUGUGGAAAGUUUUUUCGGUGUGGGAUGAGCUCGCGGCCUAUCAGCUUGUUGGUGGGGUAAUGGCCUACCAAGGCGUCGACGGGUAGCCGGCCUGAGAGGGUGUACGGCCACAUUGGGACUGAGAUACGGCCCAGACUCCUACGGGAGGCAGCAGUGGGGAAUAUUGCACAAUGGGCGCAAGCCUGAUGCAGCGACGCCGCGUGGGGGAUGACGGCCUUCGGGUUGUAAACUCCUUUCGCUAGGGACGAAGCGCAAGUGACGGUACCUGGAGGAGAAGCACCGGCUAACUACGUG
rnacentral:rRNA from 1 species